UCCAAUUGAUAUUUUAUAGUGUGUUUUUCUAUGUUGUGAUGUUAAACUAUUGUUUCAGAAAAGGGAGAAGGUUAGGUACCAUUAAAACGUUUAAUCCCGCUGCAAAUGUUUACACCUGUCCUAAGUCAGGAAUCUGAUGUACAGAAGUUGUCGUCUGUUUAUUGAGUUCAUACGUGUUUUUCGUUUCUCGUUUUUUAUAUAGAUUUAUUUAGACCGUUGGUUUUCCAGUUUGAAUGGUUUUACAUAAAUAUUUUUUGGGGCCCUUUAUAGCUUGCUGUUCGAUGUGAGCCAAGGCUCCGUCUUGAAGGCAGUUCCUUGAUCUAUAAUGGUUAACUUUUAUAAAUUGUUAUUUGGAUGGAGAGUUGUCUCAUUGACACUCAUGCCACAUCUUCCUAUAUCUAUAGACAUAGAAAACCCAAUUUUUUCAAGAACCACACAAUUGACCUAAUGCUAUUUAAAAUGCCAUGAUGUAAUGAUGAGUCUUAAAAUUUGUCAUCUUUAUAUUUAAUUUUCUUAUUCUUUGAAUAUCGCCUAGGUUGGGAGGUGAGAGUAAUGGGGGUCUGGAAGGGGUUUACGGAAAAGAGAACAAUGGAUGAAAAGUGAACAAUAAAUGGCAAAUAGUAUAAGAUUAGAGGAAAAUAGGACAAAAGAAAUAACAAAUAGAGAGUUAAGGAGUACUGAUAAAUAAUAGAAUAAAGGUAAAAAUAAAUAAAGAAUAUAGAAUAAGGAAUAUAAAAGUAAUUAAUGCACAUAAUAGAAUAAGGGUAGAUAAACAAUAGAGAAAAAAUGAAAUGUUAAACAUUAAAGAAAUAAAGGACCCAUGUGCAAUCUCAACUCUCAGCUGUAAUUGGACAAAAGUACUGCAAUAUUACUGCCCAUAUUAUACAGACCUUCUAAAAUUCAAACUGACCACACGCACGAUACACGCACGGUGAAUGCACGAUACACGCACGGUACACGCACGAUACACGAUACACACACGGUACACGCACGAUACACGAUACACGCACGAUGAGCGAUGAGCGUUACACGGAGGAUUAACGCAAAAUGAAUGAUGAAUGAUGAACGCACGAUACACGAUGAAUGAUAAAUACACGAUACACGGACGCACGAUACACGCACGUUGAAUGAUUCAUUGACGACUGAACAACGAACGCUUUUUACACGAUUCUCAAAGCUAUUUUAUUUAGAAUAGUAUUAUACAUGUAAUUGUAACAAAGCUUCUUGAUAAAAUAAUAAAAAAAAAACAAAAACAAAAAAACAAAAAACAAAAACGGAUAAAGGAAACAGAAAUCGAAACCAACACAACCAUAACAAAACCAAUGGCAAUUUUUUCGAUGACACUUUUUUACGACAAAUGUCGUUAUCAAUAUUUACUUGUCAAUGUUACUGGUUAAUUUUGAUAUAUAUAUAUAGAUUUUUGUUUUAAAUGUGUUCCGGAAAUUACUUGUUAAAUGCAUUUGUGUUCAAGUACUUGAUGCAUUAAAGUUAAACUUAUGUUCUUUGAAAAUCUUACAAGUUGCCUUUUCCUGGAAAUAAAGCAAACCAGAAGUCCAUGUAAUACUAAAAACACAUCAAACAAACUUGUAGCAGUACUUUAAAAUAUUAAGCUAUCACGACAUCAGAAAAAUUGGUCUAAGUGACCUUUGACAUUAUUACAAUGACACAGCUUCAAGAUUGUCUAAUUUGCUGGUAAAUAAAACACUAACACUUUUUGUAAUGACAGACGCAUAGUUCGUAAAUAAAAAAAAAUCAUUAGUGAUUGCUGAAUCCUAAACAUGUUUAUAGCUUUGAGAACUAAAAUUUCAGUUUUUUUUUCAAAAUAGAGCUUAUAUAAUAUUUGUCUUGGGUACAAAAAUUAUAAUAAUAGUUUUGGAACAAUUCAGUUUAGUAAACGGUAACUGUAAUUGAUAGACAUUACCAAAUCAACGAAAUUUCUAGUCGACACAAAAGUACUGACGACUAUAGAAAACCUCCACCAGCAAUGCUACAUUUGUUUCUUUGUUUUACAGAAGAAUGAAUGAACAGUGAUAUUUCAAUAACGUCGUGAUCUAAUUCAACAUGGCAUCGGAACAGCCUCUUCUACAGAAAAGUUCUACUGUGAAAAGUGAAAGUUUUACAAUUGACGACACGCUUUCAGCUGACCGAAAAUCUCUGAUAAAAAAAUCAUGUAUGAAUUCGGACUCGUUCUCGCAAUUUUACACUCCUCCUGUGUUAAAAAGUUCAUGGUGGAGAAAUAAAACAAAAACUUUUGUCUUGACAGCCUUGAAAAUAUUAAUUCCUGUUGCGUAUCUGUGUUAUAUAAUUUAUGCGGUGUGGUAUAACUCUGCGCGAGCUGGUUUGCUUGCAUGGGAUAUUUGUGUUUUAAUUGUAUGGAUUUUCCUAUUCACGCAAACACCAAGACGUUUAGCGAAUCGAGGAAAAACAGCACUCAUCGUCAAUUUCCGGUUAUUGAUGUCAAAGGCAAUCUAUGUUAGAGCGUGAGUAUUUUUCUUAUCACUUUGGAAAUAAGAAUAGUAAUAUAACUAUAUGGUACAUUCAUUUUGUGAAGACUGAAGGAUUCAG
rnacentral:lncRNA from 1 species